rnacentral:rRNA from 1 species
CAGUCGCCGCGGUAAUACGAACCGUGCGAACGUUAUUCGGAAUUACUGGGCUUGAAGCGCGUGUAGGCGGGUCGGCACGUCGGUCGCUGAAAUCCCCCGGCUCAACCGGGGAAGUGGCGCCGAUACGACCGGCCUGGAGGGGGGUAGGGGGGCCUGGAACUUCCGGUGGGGCGGUGAAAUGCGUUGAGAUCGGAAGGAACGCCCGUGGCGAAAGCGAGGCCCUGGACCCUUUCUGACGCUGAGACGCGAAAGCCAGGGGAGCGAACGGGAUUAGAUACCCCGGUAGUCCCUGUCUCUUAUA